CUUAUUGGCUUUUGAAACUGCUUUCAAGAUUGAUCUCCUUUUCUCGUCAAGAAGUCUCAUUCUCCUACAUGAUUUAGUUUCAAAUUUUUUUUAGAUAUUCUAUGAUAACUUUUGAAACUUUUUGCCUAUUUUCAUAGUUGAUCACGUUUUCAUGUGUCAACUACUGGUAUUUUCAUUUUCGUUUAAAAAUGACUUUCUUUGGUAAUUUGAUUUUUUUCUUGGUUUGAAUGAUGACUGCUAUUACUUGGCAAACUCAUCAUUGUUGAUAUAUAUGUUUUUUUUUAAACUUCAUCUAGAUGACAGAGUUUUAUUCUUGUAUUUUCUUAUUUCUGUUCUGAAAUUUCUUCUCAUCGAAAUCCAUCUUUACUUAUUUUCCUCUCAGAAUUCUGAUUACUUUGUAGCAUAGCAAUUUUGUUAAAAAAUGUAUUUUGCUUUAGUUUCUUCAACUACAAGAGAUGCUUCCUCAGCAACUCUUGGUGACACAAAUAAUGUAAAAGGUUCGUUGAUGAUUGUUUGCACGUUUUCAUCGAUAAAAUUAUUAAUGAUAUCAUUGCCAGAAUCCAGACACGAAUAUAAACUGGAACGUGCACUUCCAAAGCUUUGUAAUGUUUGACUGAUUGGAUUUAAUAGACUAUGAUGAGUCAAUGAGUUUGGUGAAUCUUUUAAUUACAAAUUAUUAACUAUAAAUGAUAAGAAAAUUUUUUCUGGUGUUGUUUUAAUUUCAGUGAAGGCCGAGACAAACUCAAAAAUCUAGACCGUUAUAGUCUUUUACCAUUCAAAUUGGUAUUGGAAACAAUGUUGCUAAUGGUGAAGGUUCCAGAUUCAUUAUCAAUAACAUUAAUAAUGUUGAUAAAUUAACAACGAGACCUGGACUCUUAUUAACUCUAAUUGAUCUUAAUAAUAAAGUUCUAUUUAUUCGUCUUUAUUAUUUUCUGACAAGCUGGAAACCCGUUCUAAAUCUGUAAAUAGUCUUUUGUUGACUUAUAUGUCUUGUUCAGAAGAUUUUAUAGUAUUUAAUGAUACAACUUCAGUCAACUUUGCUAACACUGGAUUAAGUAAAUUUUGAUUUAACUUCCCUCCUUAAGCGAUUUGAGUACAUUUGAGUUGUUAAAUGUGCUGGAAGAAUUGUCAUUUCUUUCAAAAUAUUUUUUUAAUGUUAAAUUUUUGAUCGAGUUAUGUUUCUAGAUAAGAUCGUUGUCCAAAGAAUCUAUUAACAGCCGAAUGGAAUUUUUUGGCAAAUAGUUUCCAAUAGAUAAUGAGUUUCCAGCUACAAUAUCAUUCCUAGAAGAAUUCUUAAGUGUGAUUGUUCUUUAAGUAGUAGUAAAUUAUGUCUUUUGAUAAACCCAUCACACUGACUAUGAAGAAGGGGAAGAAAAGAUAAGGUGAAAUUGAAGAAGUUGUGAAAAGUGUUAUGUGAUAAAAGGAAGAACUCUUACCUUGGCUGUUAAGUUUUUUAAAUUCCUAAGAAAAUAAGGAACUAAAACUUGAUCUAAUUAUACUAUCAUUUAUUCGUUAAAAGAAAUAUAUAAAAAAGGGUGCUAGGCUUGUAGGUACACCUUUUAUAACGAUCA